rnacentral:rRNA from 1 species
CUUGGUGGUUUUAGCGGAGAGGUUACACACGAUUCCAUUCCGAACUCGAACGUUAAGGGCUCCAGCGCCGAUGGUACUAUGUCUUAAGGCAUGGGAGAGUAGGACAUUGCCAAGU